CGCGGUAAUUCCAGCUCCAAUAGCGUAUAUUAAAGUUGUUGCCGUUAAAAAGCUCGUAGUUGAACCUUGGACCUGGCUGGUCUGUCCUCCUAAUCGAGCGUACGGAUUCGGUCGGGUCUUUCCUUCUGGGGAGCCCUAUGUCCUUUACUGGUCGUAGCGGGGAACCAGGACUUUUACCUUGAAAAAAUUAGAGUGUUCAAAGCAGGCCUUUGCUCGAAUACAUUAGCAUGGAAUAAUAGAAUAGGACAUCGGUUCUAUUUUGUUGGUUUCUAGGACCGCUGUAAUGAUUAAUAGGGAUAGUCGGGGGCGUCCGUAUUCAAUUGUCAGAGGUGAAAUUCUUGGAUUUAUUGAAGACGAACUACUGCGAAAGCAUUCGCCAAGGAUGUU
rnacentral:rRNA from 1 species